UACGAAGGGGGGCUAGCGGUUGCUCGGAAUCACUGGGCGUAAAGGGGUGCGUAGGCGGGUCUUUUAAGUCAGGGGUGAAAUCCUGGAGCUCAACUCCAGAACUGCCUUUGAUACUGAAGAUCUUGAGUUCGGGAGAGGUGAGUGGACUGCGAGUGUAGAGGUGAAAUUCGUAGAUAUUCGCAAGAACACCAGUGGCGAAGGCGGCUCACUGGCCCGGUACUGACGCUGAGGUGCGAAAGC
rnacentral:rRNA from 1 species